GAUGAAGAACGUAGCGAAAUGCGAUAAGUAAUGUGAAUUGCAGAAUUCAGUGAAUCAUCGAAUCUUUGAACGCCCCUUGCGUUCCUUGGUAUUCUGAGGAGCAUGCCUGUUUGAGUGUCAUUUAAUUCUCAAACUUUACCUAGUUUGCAAAAACUAGAUCAGGUUUGGAGUCUGGAAGUUGCUGGCUUUUUUUUUAAGCUAGCUCUUCUAAAAUAUAUUAGCAGAAAUAUUGCUACUCAAUAUGGUAUGAUAAUUAUCUAUACCGUUGAAAGUAAUCUUUCUGAUUUUGCUUCUAAUUGUCUACCAAGACAACCUUGAUACCUUUGACCUCAAAUCAGGUAGGACUACCCGCUGAACUUAAGCAUAUCAAUAAGCGGAGGA
rnacentral:misc_RNA from 1 species